AUUUCUGCUAAACACAAUGGAAACUAUUCUUGUGUAAUUAGUAACAAUUAUGGACAAGAUUCUACAUCUAUACUGAUUGGAAUCGAAGGAUCACCUAAUUGGAUUGAACAACCCAAUGAUUUAAAAGUUAAAUAUGGACAAUUAAUUGAUGUUAAAUGUCUUGUUUCUGGUUACCCGAAACCUAAAGUCCAAUGGAAAAAGUUAACUGGCUCAAUUUGGACUGAAAUGGAAUCAAUUAGUUAUGAAAUCGACAAUUCUGGACAACAUUUGAAAAUUUACAAUUCCACUCGAAACAAUCAAGGUAGAUAUGGAUGCUCUGUCUCGAAUGGUAUUCAACCUGAUCUAUGGACAGAAUUUUCCAUAACCAUUGAAGGUAUUUGUUGAAUAUUAUUUUCUAUGUAAUUUCACUUGGAAUUGGCGCUUUUCUACUUUGACAUAAUCUUAUUUGACCAAAGAAAAUAUUGAACAUAUGAUUAACAGAAACUUUAAGCUUGUUUGUAAUAUAAUCGUGAUUGAUAAUUGUUUUGGUGGACAAAAUGUUUCUAUUCACUUUGAUUGUUUUCUGUUUAUUCAGAAACCAAGUAAAUGGACAAGAGAGUCCAAAAGUAGCUCCAUUUUCAUCUAUAGUUAAACCAGUAAUCGGUGGGAAGACAUCAUUCACUUGUCAAUCUCUAACGGGAUCAUCUCCAUUUCAGAUUGUUUGGUUCAAGAAUAACAAAGAAAUUCAAGAUUCGAUAGAAACCAGGAUUCGUAAUAAUGAGGACUCAUCAAUGUUAAUCAUUGAUUCAAUCAAAUCAAGUCACUCUGCUAAUUAUACAUGUAAAAUCUCAAAUAGAUUUGGUUAUGACUCUUACUCGAGUGAACUGCUAGUUGAAGGUUCACCAAAUUGGAUUGAGAAACCAACUAAUCUAAAAUUGAAAUAUGGACAAUCAGUUGACAUCAAAUGUCUUGCCUCCGGUUAUCCAUCACCAAGAAUUCAAUGGAAAAGAUUUAAAGGUUCAUCUUGGAAAACAAUUGAUUCCAAUGAUAUGAUUAAGAUCGAUAACAAUUUGAAAAUUAUCAAUAUUUCUCAACAUCAUCAAGGAAAAUAUGGAUGUUCAGCCUCGAAUGGUAUUCAACCUGAUCUAUGGACAGAAUUUGAAAUGAUUGUUGAAGAAAUUAGAUGAAAAUAGUAAACAAUCAACACAGAUCAUUGCAAAUGAUUACGAUCAUCAUGUAUUUACCUUUUAUUAGCAAAAUGUUUGGUGUUUUACUAACUUUUUAUCUUUUCCAAAGUCAUCAAGUUAAUGGAUUUCAAAGUCCAAAAGUAGCUCCAUUCACAUCUUUAGUUAAACCAGUGAUCGGAGGAUAACCAAUAGGUAUGGACACGAUUCUCAAAGUACUCAACUUUUGGUUGAAGGACCUCCUAAUUGGAUUAAUAAACCUUCAAGUAUGAAAUUUAAAUUAUCUCAAUCAGUUAUCAUGAGAUGUGCAGCAUCAGGU